ACGAACGCUGGCGGCGUGCUUAACCCCUGCCCGUCGAACGGAAAGGCCCUGCUUUUGUGGGGUGCUCGAGUGGCGAACGGGUGAGUAACACGUGAGUAACCUGCCCUUGACUUUGGGAUAACUUCAGGAAACUGGGGCUAAUACCGGAUAGGAGCUUCUGCUGCAUGGUGGGGGUUGGAAAGUUUCGGCGGUUGGGGAUGGACUCGCGGCUUAUCAGCUUGUUGGUGGGGUAGUGGCUUACCAAGGCUUUGACGGGUAGCCGGCCUGAGAGGGUGACCGGCCAAAUUGGGACUGGAGAGCGGCCACAACCCCGUCGGGGGGGAGGAGGGGGGAAAUUUGCGAAAGGGGGGGAAGCCUGGUGACGGAACCCCGGCGGGGGGAAAGGGGCCUUUGGGUUUGAAACGGUUUUGCCUUGGGGGGAAGGGGAGGGAGGGGAAAUGGGGAAAAAAGCACCGGCAAACUACGG
rnacentral:rRNA from 1 species